GUCUACGGCCAUACCACCCUGAAUGCACCUGAUCUCAUCUGAUCUCGGAAGCAGGAUCGGGCCUGGUUAGUACUUGGAUGGGAGAUGAUUGAUUGAGCGCUGAAAACUAGGAUAAAUUGUAUUCA
rfam:Papio anubis isolate 1X1155 chromosome 6, whole genome shotgun sequence.